GGGCCCCAACCCAGACCUUCUGAAUCUCGAGGGCACAACCCAAGGAUCUUUAACAAGCGUUUCAGGUGACUUUUCCACAUAUUGAAAUUGGAACUCCGCUGCAGUCCCAAGAGACUUCUUAUCUGCAUUUCUAACAAGCCACAGGUAUUGCUGAUGAGGUUGGAAGGCAGACCAGCUUUUAAAUAGCACUUCUGUAAAACAGCCUCUUUCCUGACUGGACGUUGAGGUGAACAUCUCAGAGCUAUGAGGGAUGCAUGCUAAGUUUUUCUCCUCAUGAGAGAGCAUGCAUUUCAUGUAAAGACUUCACAUAUCCUUAGGUCCUGAAGAUUUUUCUUUCUUUCUUCUUUGAAUUGAAAGGGCAGCACCCAUGGCAUAUGGAGGUCCCCAGGCUAGGGGUUGAAUCAGAGCUGUAGCUGUCAGCCUGUGCCAUAGCUCACAGCAACACUGGAUCCUUAACCUACUGAGCAAGGCCAGAAUUGAACCAACGUCCUCGUGGAUAUUAGUCAGUUAUAGACCAACACAGCCACGUACCACAAACCCUGGGGCUGAAAACGGAAGCUGAUUGCUGCACAAUUCUAAAGGCUGGAAGACUGAAAUCAAGGAUCCUGCUAUGAGUAUUUCAGAUAAGCACAAUUCCUAGUCCUUGCAGCCUUCCUCUUUAGCCUACCACUGGUGGAAUGCCUUCGAGGCCAUAUUGCAAAAGGUUUUAUGCAACAUGCUAAGGAGUCUGGAUUUUAUUUUGAGGUCAGUGGUGAACAUUUUAUGAUUUGUAAGCAUAAGAGUGACGUGAGCAGAUUUGCAUUUGGGGGAAACAUCUCCAGUUGUGUGACAGAGAAGAACAAACCUGACUCCAUACUGGAUUUAUUCCUUUAGCUCUAACUCUUGUGCUGUGUUAUGCUAGCUGUGAACCUUUGUAAGAGAAUUUUGCCCAGAGCCUGAAAUAUACACCGUAGUCUAUUCUUAAGGAUCUGACCUUUAAAGGUAUAGCACUCCCAUUCAUACAGGGAUAAAAAGUUGUAGACCAGAGAGUUACAUCUGUCUUGUUGGAGGUUAACAAUCACAUUGUGCCUAGACCUACAUGGAUAGCUGUUAAGAACAAAGGAUUCCUGCACCAAGAAGUUUACAACAACCAGCCACUGGCCCCUCCCCUUUUAGUUUAAAAGAAGCCUGACUUCUAACUCACUGUAAAAUGCUUCUUUGAAACACUAGUCCAUCUUCUUCAUCUGCUGGCUUUCCCAAUAAAGUUACCGUUUCUUGCCCCAACAAUGUAUCUUCCAUUUAUUGGCCUGUCCUGCCGGGAUAAGUAUAAGCCUGGACUUGGUAACAGUUGCAGUGUAGAAAUGAAUUGGAAGAUGCUAAGAGUAGUCAGGGAAAUCAGGGGAAGUUUGCAAUGGUGAGACAAUGAAUAUCUAUGGGUAGCUGAUCAAAGGAGACAGGGGAGCAGAUUUAAGAAUCAGUAGGGAGUUCCCCUUGUGGCACAUCAGAAACAAAUCCAACUAGUAUCCAUGAGGAUGUGGGUUCAAUCCCUGGCCUUGCUCAGUAGGUUAAGGAUCCAGCAUUGCCUUGAGCUAUGGUAUAGGUCUCAGGAAUGGUUUGGAUUCCAUGUUGCUGUGACUGCGGCCCAGGCUGGCAGCU
rnacentral:lncRNA from 1 species